rnacentral:rRNA from 1 species
CCUACGGGAGGCUGCAGUGAGGAAUAUUGGUCAAUGGGCGGGAGCCUGAACCAGCCAAGUCGCGUGAGGGAAGACGGUCCUAUGGAUUGUAAACCUCUUUAGGCGGGGAGCAAUGCCGGGCACGCGUGCCCGGAGGGAGAGUACCCGCAGAAUAAGCAUCGGCUAACUCCGUGCCAGCAGCCGCGGUAAUACGGAGGAUGCGAGCGUUAUCCGGAUUUAUUGGGUUUAAAGGGUGCGUAGGCGGAUUUUUAAGUCAGCGGUAAAAUGUCCGGGCUCAACCCGGGCCGGCCGUUGAAACUGGGGAGCUUGAGUGGGCGAGAAGUAUGCGGAAUGCGUGGUGUAGCGGUGAAAUGCAUAGAUAGCACGCAGAACUCCGAUUGCGAAGGCAGCAUACCGGCGCCCGACUGACGCUGAGGCACGAAAGCGUGGGGAUCGAACAGGAUUAGAUACCCCUGUAGUC